CAGUCUUUUGCUUUAAUUAUAUGAGGUACUUGUUUAAUCAUUCUCAUACACAGCACUCUGAAUAGCCUCGUCUUGAAGAGGAAUUGCUUAAUGUUUGAGGAGUGUCAAACCUGGUACUUUCCAGACUGUCGCCCACAACCCAUCCAAAGGAACAAACACUUCUUCCUUAUGGACUCUGUGCCUAUCCCAGAACUAGCCCACUUCACCUGCCACCCACGUAAGUUAUAGCCAAUGUAAAUUCUUUCAAAACAACUUAUAGCUUUCUUCCAUUCCUUGAUGUACAAAAA
rnacentral:lncRNA from 1 species